AUGCCCUCCGGUUCGGAGCUCCGCGCCCGUCGCCUCUUUGCGCUCAGCCACCUCCAGCAGCUCGCCCAGCUCUCCCUGCAAGCUUCCACCACCUCAGAGGUGCCCCCUUGCCUCGCUCCCGAGGAGCACCACACGCCGGCGAGCUCCCAAGCCAGCCUCGUCCGCAUCCGCAUCCGCGCGCGAGCGCCUGCGCCCGACCUUGUCGCCUCCACGCCCGGCCUCGAACGGCGCCGCCCCGCUGCUGUGUUGCUGGCCCUUGCUGCCGAGUGCCUCGUCCACGGCCCCGCGCUAGCUGUGCUCCGGGGCACAUCUGGUCCGUUUCGGAGUUACAGGACACCAUUAAACUCCACAAUAUGCAAUACGAGCAGGAGUUAG
rnacentral:rRNA from 1 species